AGAAUUCAUGCUGAAUGUACAAUUCAAAGGAAUAGUGUGGAAUAACCUUUUAUACUUGUGACUUUUUGACAAACUGUUUUUUGACAAGUAUGUUAACGAAGCGGAAGCCUAACCACAAACAAAAGAGGAUGUAGCCUCUCUGCAUCAAACUUGUCACUAGAAGGCGGAACAGUAUCCAUUUUGAAGGUCACAUUUCAAUAUGGCAUGUGUUGUUCUCGCUCUUCUUACAAUCUUACCAGUGGUGAUGGGAGAUACCACUGGUUACCUGGGAGAUUCGGUCACCUUGUCUUCUGGAGCCAACUCAUCCUGGAUCUUGAGCAAGAUAGAGUGGUCUAUAUUCAGCAACAACACCUGGAUUGCAACGUACAGGAAAGAAUCACACCUUCUCAAAACAGACCGUUUCUGGCAGUUUCAGGGUCGUCUAAGUCUCAACAUCUCGUCCGGGGACUUAGAGAUAAGAGAUGUGAGGAUAGGGGAUGCCCUGGUUUACUCUGUUCUCCUUAAAGACUAUAAGGGAGAGCAGCAUAACGUACCUGUCCAGCUCACUGUGACAGAGCGUCUCAGCAAGCCCAGCGUCCGUAAGGUCUUCAGCAUGUUGAAGGACAGCCAUUGUGUGAUGGCUCUUCAGUGCUCCUCUUCAGUGAAGGACACCCACCUCUCCUGGGAACCAGAGGCUGUGUUUGAGGAUGCCUUCUGGAAGGGGAAUCCCAACACCAACGUCUCUGUCGUCUGGACGUCUUACAGCCCCAACAGAAAUGCCACCUUCACCUGUACUGCCAGCAAUGGGCUCUCUAAAGCCUCCAGGGUUGUGACGGAGAGAUGCCAAGAGCCCGGCAUGGUGGGAGAGACCCGCUUCCCUGGAAUAGUUUUUCUAAUGUUGCUCUUAGGAAUUGUGUUUGGAUGUGUUUUAACAUAUAUUUGUUUUAGAGUUGAGCUAAAAAUGUUCCCCGUAUCAACUUUGUAAACUUUGUUUUCAUGUGCAUGAUGCCUUGCUUAAAAUUGAUGUAAAAAAUCAAAUCCGCUGCAGCAGAUUUGCUUGGUCCUUUCUUGCUGCAGCUUUCUGCGGAGUAAUUAACACAGGUUUUUUAACUGCCAAUUCUCUUGGGUGUUAUCCCCAGGGUUUGGAAGGCGGCCGUGUUCUCCCUCUCCACAAUAGUGGUGAGAUACCAAACCCGGUCGCGGGAUGGCUUUCCCUUCGAUCUCCAAUGAGUUAGUGGGAGCAAAUUAAGCAUAGUGGGCAGAAAAAGCAAGAAGCCUGCAGGGAUCUCCACGGAGUCCCCUACUGUCUUGUGGAACGACCGGUAUGAAGAAACAACCACAACGGAAACAUAAAAAUGUACAUUGGCAUUCUGACAUCAAUCAAUGUUGACACUUUAUAUUACAGUGCACUUACUACUGUGUAAUUAUUCAUGUAAGUACGGUGUAGCAAGUGUUGUAAUUACUCAUUGUUACACUGUAUUACUUGUUACAUUGUGCCUACAUAAAUAAUUUCACAAUAAUACACUGCAAUGCAAAGUCCUACAUAAUCAAUAAUAGAUAAUAAUUGAUUGGAUUUAUAUAGCACAUUUCCGGGUUUGAUUUAUACUGUACGUGGCACUUUACAUAUUUGCACUUUUUACGUAUCUAAGCAUGUGGGUCCGAUUUUACUUCUUUACAUGUCAGUCAGAAGUAAUGUAUUAUAAACCCUUCAACCAAAACAACUGUCAUAAAUUAAAACAAAAUACAGUUACA